UAGUGCAGCUAUAGAGUGAAGACCCAUCAAUCAGGCUGUGAAUGAGAAAUGAAAAGAGGUUUUUCCAGAUGUCCACUACUGAAUACUAAAAGUAAAUCUGUUUUAGUAUUAGUGCAGGAAGGAGGGGAACAGAUAUAGUUAUCCUGCCACGCUCAGUGGCAUGGUACUCCUGGGAUCAGAGAGAGAUAUGUAUUGCUUUGUUCCUUUAAUGAAAAAUUCAAGUAAUAAAACUACCCCCCCACCACUUACUGUUCUUGGGGUGGGGAAAAAUCCUAGAGUUAAAGGCAUUAACUGUAUUUCAAAUUUCACAUUAUUAUUAUUACACAUUAGCAAUUAUUUCAAAUGAUCAUUGUAUACAUAAAGUGCUGAAAUGAUGUAUUUAGUGUUUCCUCUGUAAGUGUAAUUAAGGUUUUAUGCGCGUGAUGAUAUCAAUGCUGAACUAUAAAUUUUAUUUCAUGCUUUUACAGAUGGAGGAGUCCAUUGUCCUUGGGGUACAUGUGUAAUUGUCAUUAAUUCCAACAACAGGAGUAUAAAUCUCCCUCAUUUCUUCUGUGUGCAUAGAUUAGAAAGUAUCUCUCGCAAUAUGGAAUUCCAGAACUACACUUUGCUGGGAAGCCCUGUAUAAAGAUUAGGUAGAGAUGUUGUCUGACUUUUUAACCAUCUUGGUGAAAUCUAUUAGAGGUUCCAGAAUGAUUUCUUAUGUCAGAGGGAAUGCAGUUAUUCAAAAUGGCUGCUUUAUCUGACCUAAAAGACUGUUGACAAAUGGGCCUAAUACUGACAUUGUGAAAUUGUGCCUCCAGUAAUAUCAACUUUGGGACUACUUAGUGUGAAUGUAUUUUUCCAAUGUUCUGAACCUAACUGAUGGCAACGUUUGGGGUUCACAAAGGUUUUAUAUCUAGGGGAGGAAAAGAGUUCAGUUAUAUUGCCUUCCUGUGCAGCUUGUUGGGAUGGUUCACUAACUUGAGCCAUGUGGCACUCUAAGCUCUGAUUUCACUUCUCUAGUUAUCGUGAGAUGCGUUGACGUUUCCAUUUUGUGCAGCUUGACUUCUGGCUGCCCAGUGAAUGCUUACUUUUACCAUCUGAGAGAGAGUUGGACCAGAGAGUCAGGGCGGACUAGUGGUUAGAACAUUGCACUUCAGCUUGAGAGAACUGGGUUCAAAUCCCCAUUUAUUUAUUUAUAUAUUUAAACAUGUAUGGAUUUCUGGUGCCUGCACACCACUCAGGGUGACUAACAACAAUUAACCAAUAUUGAAACACCAUAAAAGGAAGGGGCUAACCACACCUCAUUGGCUGCAGAAUGUCCUUUUUCUAGUCUUCCUCAGCCAAGCUUCCAACAUAACUGGGGCAUAGAGAUGAGGGUGCCCCUAACUGAUCCUUGACCUAAGCUAUCUAAGGUGUUAAAUGCCAUCUCCAACAUUUUGUAUUGUGUCUGGAAACUUAACUAGUGCAGCUCUUGCAGGGCAGGUACAGCCUUGGCCACUCACAAAAUUUCAGAGUACCCUAUCUCACAGGGUGGAUAAGAUAAUAUCCACCUAUAAGUACAGCAUUUUGAUGUCUUAGUAGAAGGAUGGAAUGAAUGAAUGAAUAGCUCCCUGCCAACUCUAUGGCCAUCUUGUGUUGUUUAAUCCCUUCCACUAGGGGGCAGUAGCAUGCAGCAUACUUUUCAGGUCCAAAGUUGGUUGCAUAUUACAAUUAGUACUAACGUUCUGCCUCAGAGUUUACUUGUGCAGAAAUAUCCGCUAUCAUGAGCAAUCUAGAAGUGUAACAUUGUAGAAUUACUCAUGGAAAAUUGAGUGGUUAUUCAGACACACGCAUGUGCGCACGCGCGCACACACACACAAUGUUUAUUGACCCUGCCUUGCACGCGGAAGUAAAUACUGCAAUUUACAGUGAUUCAUACAGUGGUACCUCUGGUUAUGAACUUAAUUCGUUCCGGAGGUCCGUUCUUAAGUUGAAACGGUUCUUAUCCUGAAGCGCGCUUUCGCUAAUGUCGCCUCCCACUGUGCGUGCACGCCUCUGGCGUGGAGCUUCCGCUCACAUCCCAGAGCAAAGUUCACAACCGGGAGCAACUAGCGUAGCUCGUAACCCAAAGUGUGCGUAACCAGAAGCGUUCGUAACCAGAGGUACCACUGUACAUUGGUAACCUCAAGGCUGGAGUGCUACAAUGCACUCUGUAUGGGCCUGCCUUGGAGGCUGGCCUGGAAGCUACAGGUGGUACAAAACAAGGUAGCACAGUUGUUGUGUGGGGUAGCCUGCCAGGAACACUUCCCACCUGUACUGAGAUGACUUCACUAUCUGCCUGUUGGCUGCUGAGCCAGAUAUGAGGUUCUUGUAUUGACAUAGAAAGCUCUCAGCAGCUUAGGGCCUAGCUGCUUGGCAGAGUGCCUGCUCCCUUAUAGAGCUGCCUAUUAUUUUAUAUCUUUUGGCGGUGCCACAUCUUCCCGUGGCAAUGUGGGAGAGAGCUUUCUCAGCUAAAGUGCUGCAAGUUUAGAAUUUCCUCCCCUCUCAAAUAAGAAUGGCACUGACUAUCAUGUGUAUUGGCUGCCAGUUUAAAAACUACCUAUUUGUCCAGGUGUUUGGAUGUGUUGUUGUUGCUUCUAAUGAAAUUUGACAACUUUUAUUGCUGUUUACUUUUUUAUAGUGUGUGUGUGUGUGUGUGUGUGUGUGUGUGUGUGUGUGUGUGUGUUAAAUGCUUUAACAUUGCAACCUGCUAUUGGAUGCCUUUUUGGUUAUGAAGAACAGGCUAUGCAUAUUUUAAAGAAAAGUAUUUUUUCAAAGGCCCAUUUUCCCGCAGUAGUAUCUGGGAUUGGUAAAGAGACUAAAUUUGUGCAAUUGACCUGAGAGAUGCAAUAAUAAGCUUUCAAAUAUUAUGCCCGCAGGGCUUUUGGGAGAGCCUUUCUAUAUCAAAUGCGAAGGCAAACAUGCUGAUGCAAUUCUAUUAAAUGCACAGUGUUCUUCAUACUUCCCAUCCAGCAAUUUUUAGUCAGAGCAGUGCUCCCACAAGGCAAGCAUGACUAUUGCUAAUUUGCACAUAAACAGAGGUACAGAUUAUUCCCAUAUGCAAGCACACUCACCUGAAUGAAAAUCAUAAUGCACAAAGCAUCCCCAAGGGAUCCUUGAGAAAUGUGGAUGCAAAUUGUUUGCAGUGUCCUCACAGGUACUAUAUUGAGCCUAGCAACUUCCACAUACGUUCUUAAGGAGUAAAUCCUGUUGAUUAUAAUGACUCUCAUUCCCAAGCAAGUGUGUACAACAUGUCUGAAAGCGCACCUGCACAGUGCUUAACAGUGUGCAGGUAGUCGCAGAUGUUGCAUGUCUUGACUCCUUUUGCACUAGAGGCUCCAGCCUGCACUAGCCCCCUGUCAGGAUCAGUGCAGAUUGCAUAGCCUGUACAGCUGCUUUUCUGUAGCUCAUUCACCCAGGUGCAAUGGCUGUUGCCUUAUUGGCAUGAUAUAUUCCAUCCAAAGCAUGCAAAAAGCUGUCAAAACCCUGAAAUGAAUUGGGCCUGGUGUCAGGAAACAACCCUGAUACUUUAUACCACUUUCUGUUGAAUGGUCACUUUAAAAUGUGAAGGUUCAUUAUUGUUUCACAAGUUGUGUAUGUCUUUAAGGGCCAGGGCAAAUAACGAGACCCAGUCUUACAGCUGUGAAACAUAGCAGGUGCUGCUGAGUUGUGUUAAUCAAGCUGUGUCAGCAAUUGGGUAUAGUAUAUAAGGGGCAGCACCUAGCUCUCUCACCACCCUGGGGGAUGGGUUGGUGUUUGGGUCAUGUUUGUUGUUGUUAUCUUUAGUGCAAAAGGAGUUUUUGUUUUGUUAUUAAAACCAUGUUAAAGUUAUUUUUGAGUUCCUUGUGAUGCAUGAUCUCCCCAGCAAGCUCUCUGCAGCACUACUAAACUGCAAAUAGCCAACACUUUCCACCCCAAAAAAGUUUCAACUGUUCAUUAAGGUAGCAACCCUGCAUCAUGUGCCCCUUGUGCAAGUCUCACUGACUCCAGGGGGAUUUAUGCAGAUGUGACUUGUCACACUGGUAGUCUUGAGGGGUCUGCUUCAUUGUGUGUUAAUAGCAACAGGAGUCUGUCAGGAGUUUUCAAUAGGCCCUGGAUCUGGCCCUGAGCUACCAGCCAAAAGUGCAGUCAUCCUUUCAGAUAUUUCAUUUUCCUAAUGUGCUGUGAAAUAUGCGGAACCAGGGACUGUGUGGGCCGAGCAUUUUCACAUCCUGCAGCCUUAAUGUAAACAGCAUGUGGCAGAUGGAGGGUUGAGUGUGGAAACUAAUGUAGAGCUAUUUCACCUAAUACAGGCCCACUUUCCCCCCUUCAGUCUGGAAGAGAAACAUGAGAUGCUGAUGUCCAUCUCUCCCCAGGCUAAGUGCAAUUUCUAUUCAGUUUUAACACCCCACUCCUUUCUCCUGCUUUGCUAAAUGAUAUACCAGAAGGUAAAUUUUAUCAUGUAAAUUUUCAACAGUUAUACAGAGACAACUAAAUCAUGGGCAGAUGUGAUUUUUUUUGCAGAAGCUGUCGGUUUCAGAAAAUUGUUCCAAAAAUGGAAAGGGAAGUUGAUUGUAGGCCAGGCCAGAGUUCAACGUAAGGCAUGAAUACACUAUUAGGCUGAAAUCCUACACAUAAUUGCCUGGAACGAAGUCUCAUUAAACUCAAUGGGGCUUACUUCCAAGUAGACAUGCAUGGGAUUACGCUGUGCCAGAGUUGAGCAUGGCUGUGGCGAGGAAGGAAUGCAUGGCCAUAGCAGUCAUCUGUGGCGUGUAAAUCCUAGCUUAGGAAGCCAUGGGAAAAGGUUUAAAUUUAGCCUAUGUAUUCUAGUUUCUAGUGCUACGAGUUUCAUGUGCAGAGCUAGGAAGACAGGAACAGCUGUGCAGUCUCAGCGCAUGGGUGAGAUGAGGCUUCUGAAUUUGUUAUAAACCGGGGGAUAUUUUGAGACAUGCUGGAUUUGUACAAACAGGGGGUGGGUUCCACUUGAACCAGUAUAUAGCACCAGACUGUUGUCACUUAAAAUCUGAAAGCUGGCAGAGCAGCUGUAAAACUGAUUGUCAGGGGAAUUAGACAAAUUUGUGAAUAAGGCAAAUCCAUGGAGGAUGAGCUUCUCAGUGUCUGUUAUGAUGGUUAUGUUUUCCUUCCACAUUAUGCCUGGGAAUCGCAGGUGAGGAGAGCGCUGUUGCGCUCAGAUCCUGCCUGAGGAUCUUCCCUUGGGCAUCUGGUUGGCCAUUGUGAGAACAGGAUACCAGACUAGAUGGGCCACUGGCCUGUUCAAGCAGGGCUCUUCUUAUGUUCUUAAAUCAUGCAGUGGGGGGGGGGGGGCCUCACACAGCAAUUUAUUUUUAUGAAAUAAAAAUCCUGCUUCUUUUUGAAGCUACACAGUAAGAGGUGGAAAACACCUGACGGGAUGCACAAAUGGGGCACCUUAAGAUUUGAGAUGAGGUCAGGGGCUGUAGGUUCGUCUCCUGCUUACAACAGUACAGGUGCACAUCUGUUGGCCUCUGUGCAUCACUGACGUGAAUGGAGAAUGUUUUGUGAACAAAGCAGCUCCAGAUGUGCAUUGAAGGCCCAGCACCUGCCAGACCUGAAGUCUAAAUGCAAGAGUGGGUGUUUUGAUUGCAAGGAAAUAUAUCUUUUUGUGAAAGAGCUUUUCUUCCCAAACCAGCUGUUCCCAAUCUUGUAACUUUCUCAGUUCAUGUGUAGCCAUUUGACUUAUUUUCAUUUGCAAAUGGUGGCAGGCUAAGGUUUAGGCAUCAUGUGAGCAGCAGCGGUGGGGAAAGCUCAGGCCCAGGUGCCAAAUGCAGCCUUCUCUAUGCAGACUUCAGCACUCUGCCUAGACCAAGGCUGGAUCUACACUGAUCUGUAAAAACGCUAUUGAAAAUAAUGUUAACCAUCAUUAUAUAUUGCUCAAUGCAUUUUUUCAUUGCCAGUGACUUGCAGCUCUGCAACGCCCUCUGGUGUCACAUUUUUUAAAAUUCUUUAUUGAUUAAAAAUUUACAUAUCUAUACAAACAUUAUAUGCUAUCUCUUUACAUAUGAAGAAAAAGAAAAUUAUGUAGAGAAUAGAAAAUUUCUAAAGG
rnacentral:lncRNA from 1 species